AUCAUCAUCAUCAUCAUCAUCGUUGUACUGUGCUAAUACCAGGUUGCCAACUACAUCUCUAAAUUUACAACUUUGCCACAUCUCUCAAAAAGUCCCAUUUCUUAGCUAUCCACUUGUCCGAAACUGGACUCCCAAUUCCCAUCAUCACGAAAAAACAAUACCCACAAAGUGGGAGUCACUCUCUUACCCGUUUAGGUCAUUGGCGAUCAAAGCCUCAUUAAUGGCAUCCUCCACUGAGACUGAGACCAAACCAUUCUCUGUCCUCUUUGUAUGCUUAGGAAACAUUUGUAGAAGCCCAGCUGCU
rnacentral:misc_RNA from 1 species